AACCCGCCUGCGUGAAGUUGGAAUCGCUAGUAAUCGCGGAUCAGCAUGCCGCGGUGAAUACGUUCCCGGGCCUUGUACACACCGCCCGUCACACCAUGAGAGUCGGGAACACCCGAAGUCCGUAGCCUGACCGCAAGGGGGGCGCGGCCGGAGAUGGGUUCGAUAAUUGGGGUGAAGUCGUAACAAGGUACC
rnacentral:rRNA from 1 species